GGACAUGUCUUUCGGGAUAUGUUAGUGGCAGACGGGUGCGUAACACGUAGGUGACCUGCCCUGGAGUGGGGAAUAACUAUCCUAACGGAUAGCUAAUACCGCAUAUGCUCGGUGAUUCAUUUUGCCGAGUAAAGUCGAAAGGCGCUUCAGGAUGGGCCUGCGGCGGAUUAGGUAGUUGGUGGGGUAAUGGCCUACCAAGCCGAUGAUCCGUAGGGGGCGUGAGAGCGUGGCCCCCCACACUGGCACUGAGAUACGGGCCAGACUCCUACGGGAGGCAGCAGUGAGGAAUAUUGCGCAAUGGGCGAAAGCCUGACGCAGCAACGCCGCGUGAGGGACGAAGGCCUUCGGGUCGUAAACCUCUUUUCUGGGGAAAGAGCAAGGACGGUACCUCAGGAAUAAGUCUCGGCUAACUACGUGCCAGCAGCCGCGGUAAAACGUAGGAGGCGAGCGUUAUCCGGAUUUACUGGGCGUAAAGCGCACGCAGGCGGCUUCGUUAGUCGGGUGUGAAAGCUCCUAGCUUAACUGGGAGAGGCCACUCGAUACUGCGAGGCUUGAGGUUGGGAGAGGGGUGUGGAAUUCCCGGUGUAGUGGUGGAAUGCGUAGAUAUCGGGAGGAACACCUGUGGCGAAAGCGGCACCCUGGCCCACACCUGACGCUGAGGUGCGAAAGCGUGGGGAGUAAACAGGAUUAGAUACCCUGGUAAUCCACGCUGUAAACGAUGUCAACUGGGUGUCGGUAGCUUUACGCUAUCGGUGCCGAAGCAAACGCGUUAAGUUGACCGCCUGGGGACUACGGCCGCAA
rnacentral:rRNA from 1 species